GCCCAGGUAGCUCAGUUGGUAGAGCAUAGGACUGAAAAUCCUUGUGUCGCUGGUUCGAUUCCUGCCCUGGGCAC
rnacentral:tRNA from 3 species